rnacentral:rRNA from 1 species
AUUGAACGCUGGCGGCAUGCCUUACACAUGCAAGUCGAACGGUAACGGGUCCUUCGGGAUGCCGACGAGUGGCGAACGGGUGAGUAAUAUAUCGGAACGUGCCCAGUAGUGGGGGAUAACUGCUCGAAAGAGCAGCUAAUACCGCAUACGACCUGAGGGUGAAAGGGGGGGAUCGCAAGACCUCUCGCUAUUGGAGCGGCCGAUAUCAGAUUAGCUAGUUGGUGGGGUAAAGGCCUACCAAGGCAACGAUCUGUAGUUGGUCCGAGAGGACGACCAGCCACACUGGGACUGAGACACGGCCCAGACUCCUACGGGAGGCAGCAGUGGGGAAUUUUGGACAAUGGGCGCAAGCCUGAUCCAGCAAUGCCGCGUGCAGGAAGAAGGCCUUCGGGUUGUAAACUGCUUUUGUCAGGGAAGAAAUCUUCUGGGCUAAUACCCCGGGAGGGUGACGGUACCUGAAGAAUAAGCACCGGCUAACUACGUGCCAGCAGCCGCCGUAA